GACGAACGCUGGCGGCGUGCUUAACACAUGCAAGUGGAGCGACGAGGGCCCUCGGGCUGGCAGAGCCGCGAACGGGUGAGUAACACGUGGGUAACCUGCCUCGAUGAUUGGGACAACCCGACGAAAGUCGGGCUAAUACCAAAUGUGCUUUCUGCUCUCAAGAGCAGUUCGGAAAGGAAGCUUCGGCCUCCGCAUCGAGAUGGGCCCGCGGCGCAUUAGCUUGUUGGUGGGGUAACGGCCUACCAAGGCGUAGAUGCGUAGCUGGUCUGAGCGGACGAUCAGACAGACGGGAACUGAGACACGGGCCAGACUCCUACGGGAGGCAGCAGGGGGGAAUCUUGCGGAAUGCGCGAAAGCGUGACGCAGCAACGCCGCGUGUGGGAAGACGGCCUUCGGUUGUAAACCACUUUCAGUUGGGACGAAGGGCAGUCUGUGAAUAGCAGCUCUGCUUGACGGUACCUUCACAAGAAGCCCCGGCUAACUACGUGCCAGCCGCCGCCAAAC
rnacentral:rRNA from 1 species